CAGAAGCAAUGGAAGGAUGGAUGAGGAACCCUGCAAAGAGGAGAGAGCUCUGGGGUCUGUGAAGAGCAGGGAGCUGAGACCCAGCUCACUAUGUUACGGGUUGUGUGUUGCUGGAUCCAGCAGGUAACAGCUUGCUGGACUGAGCGUUAAAGUCUCAAGAGUUUUACAAACUGGUUGACUUUACUUUUUAAAUUGGCUUUAUUGAGGUACAAUUUACAUACUUGGAAGCAGCUAUGGCGGAAGUGUUUUUACACCAUGGAGAAUGGCACGUGCUACAACUCAGGACUUUCUUGCUGCCCCAAAGCCAGCUGCUAAACAUUUACCAGCACACCACCGAACUUAAGAGUGGCUUCUUCCAGUCUUAUCAUCCACAUAUGGCUUCUUCCUGGGGGACAAUGAGUGACAGGAAUGGGAGAGAGAGGGCCAGAAAGUAUGUUACACCAACAGCACGCCCCCGAAAAUGGACUGGAGGUUCUUCAUGGAAACAAAGAAUGGAGAUAGAGGGGCUCCCUCUACCUUCCUUCCUUCCUUUUUCUUUUUUUACUCCAUAAUAAUGACUAUACUGAAGAUUUCAGGAAAGAAUAGGAGGCAUCAGAGUGGUGGUUGAGAGUAAGGCUUUGGAGUCAGAUGGCAUUCGGGUUCCCACGGCAGCUCAGCCACUCUCGAGCUGUGUGGUGUUGUAUAAAGUGGAGCAAGGUCAGAGUGAGAAAUAUCGUGAUGUGUAUUUAGGGUAGAAGCCAGUCCACUCUGGUCAUGUGAGCUCUGUCGAGGAUCUUCAUUGGCCACAGAGUCCUCUUUUCAUCUUCUCUGAGCCACUGCAAUGAAUGAAUGGUGGUAGGCGUCCACAAACCUGCUGCACAAAAUAUGGAUAGGAUUUAGGUGAUAUCUUGACAAUUCAAGCAGAACCAGGUUUCAACAGUCCAAGAGGCAGUUGUCUCCUUCUUCUAGGCACAUCUGAAAACGAAAUGCCAAACGGGAGGUCCUGUCGCGAAUGUUGGUCCUUCGGUUCUUUAUGACGGAGUGGGUAGAUCCCAUGGACUGUCUGAAUGUCAGUUUCCUCUUCCAUAGGGUAGAAAUGACAGGAUAGCCUCAUUAUCUUUUGUGAAUCCACAUUAAAAGGGCUAUUAAAGCUAUUUUCCUAUUCAGCUGCUUAGACUCGGGGUGAAUAACCCGGUAAUUUUCUACUGCUUCUCCCCACGGAAUGUAAAGGACCAAGAGUGAACUUGUUUUCCUCUGGGUAGAUACCUAGUAGUGGGAUUGCUGGAUCAAACGGUAGAUCUAUUUUUAGUUCUUUAAGGAAUCCACAUACCGUUUUCCACAGUGGUUGUACUAGUUUACAUUCCCACUAACAGUGUGAAAGUGUUCCCUUUUCAACACAUCCACACCAACAACUAUUAUUUUUUUAUUUCUGAUUAUGGCCAUUCUUGCAGGAGUAAGGUGGUAUCGCAUUGUGGUUUUGAUUUGCAUUUCCCUGAUCAUUAGUGAUGUUAAGCAUUUUUCCAUAUGCUUGUUGGCCAUUUGUAUAUCAUCUUUUGAGAACUGUCUAUUCAUGUACUUAGCCCACUUUUUGAUAGAAUUGCUUGUUUUGUUCUUGCUAAUUUGUUUGAGUUCUUUAUAGAUUCUGGAUAUUAAUCCUUUGUUGGACGUAUAGAUUGUGAAGAUUUUUCUCCCACUCUGUGGGUUGUCUGUUAACUCUGCUGAUUAUUUCUUUUGCUGUGCAGAAGCUUUUUAGUUUAAUUAACUCUCAUCUACUUAUCUUUUUGUUGCAUUUGCUUUUGAGUUCUUGGUCAUGAAAUCUUGCCUAGGCCAAAGUUUAGAAGGGUUUCUCCGAUGUUAUCUUCUAGAAUUUUUAUGCUUUCAGGUCUUAGAUUUAAGUGUCUGAUCCAUCUUGAGUUGAUUUUCGUAUAAGGUGAGAGAUGAGGAUCCAGUUUUAUUCUUCUACGUGUGGCUUGCCAAUUAUCCCAGCAGCAUUUGUUGAAUAGGGUGUCCUUUCCCCACUUUAAGUUUUUGUUUACCUUGUCGAUGAUCUGUUGGCUGUAGUAUUUGGCUUUAUUUCCGCG
rnacentral:lncRNA from 1 species